rnacentral:rRNA from 1 species
UGGGGAAUAUUGGACAAUGGGCGCAAGCCUGAUCCAGCCAUACCGCGUGGGUGAAGAAGGCCUUCGGGUUGUAAAGCCCUUUUGUUGGGAAAGAAAUCCAGCCGGCUAAUACCUGGAUGGGAUGACGGUACCCAAAGAAUAAGCACCGGCUAACUUCGUGCCAGCAGCCGCGGUAAUACGAAGGGUGCAAGCGUUACUCGGAAUUACUGGGCGUAAAGCGUGCGUAGGUGGUUAUUUAAGUCCGUUGUGAAAGCCCUGGGCUCAACCUGGGAACUGCAGUGGAUACUGGAUGACUAGAAUGUGGUAGAGGGUAGCGGAAUUCCUGGUGUAGCAGUGAAAUGCGUAGAGAUCAGGAGGAACAUCCAUGGCGAAGGCAGCUACCUGGACCAACAUUGACACUGAGGCACGAAAGCGUGGGGAGCAAACA